AUGGCCGAGUGGUCUAAGGCGCCAGACUCAAGUUCUGGUCCUCUUACGAGGGCGUGGGUUCAAACCCCACUUCUGACAUUUCUUUUUUAUCACCUUUUGCUAUCCAAAGGAAACCAUUUUUGCAACAAGAUCAGCUCCUCUCUCUUUGCUUUGCGAGCCUAG
rnacentral:rRNA from 1 species